UUACGAAAGAAUGUUCACGUUCAUGUGUCAUGUUCUGAUUGGACGAUGAAAAUAUUAUUAUUUUUAACGUCCGAUCAAAACGUAAUACAUGUGAGUCAAUGUUC
rfam:Glycine soja cultivar W05 scaffold2622_24, whole genome shotgun sequence.